rnacentral:lncRNA from 1 species
AAAUUUUAUAAAUGUCAAUAAGAAUGAUAUAGUUUAACAUGGUUAGUCCUUAGCUUAGGCAGCUAAGGCACUCAUCUAUGACUCAUAAUUUUAGAAGUACUUAUUAUUUUUUUAAACUGCUCAUUAUAAGCUGUGCAGGAAUGGGCAUCAGCAAAAAAAAAGAGACAAAAGAGGAAGGGGAUUAACCAUCCAAUUACAAAAGAUGGACACAGAUGAGAAGAUUUUACAAGCCGAGUCAGCCACAUAAUUUACUUGUCUACCUACAUGCUCAAAGAAAAAAACAAAAUUCAAAGGAGGAGGACAAAGACCUAACAUCUUGAAUAGUAGCUGAGACCUCCCACAAGCAACGAGAUCUCAGGGACUUUACACAAAUCAAUAGCUGACUAAGAAUCUGAUUCAAUGAUGACCUUUGUAGCUCCCAUUUCACCGAGAAGGUAUAGGGCUUCUCAAAUAGCCAAACAUUCAAUCGCCAUUGGAGAGAGACACUAGGCCUUCUUAACCCUUCCAUCAAUGAGGUUGCCAUGCCAAUUAUGGACCACCACUGCUAUGCCACCUUCAGAAAGGGCGUUUUCCAGGAGCCAUUACAGUUGGCUUUCAAAAAGGGGGCUCUCGGAGCUACACAUCUGCUGGUACCACUCAUAGACCGAAUCCCGCCGGCUCGCAAAGCCUUAAAGUUUAGGACCUCAAAGUCAUUUUUGAGCCAAAGAAUAAAUUUUAAGGUCGACUCUCGCUCAGGGACACUUCCCUAAAAAUCCCACGCAUUUUUGGCUUCCAAAUUGACCAACAAACGUUCGUAAUUUGAGCUAGGCAUCUACCAUUCCCAAACUUGCCUAAUUUAUCCAAUGCCUCACUCCACCAGUAUUGAAAAGAGAUAAAGCCUCUCACAUCAGGCCUAUACCUUUAUUCACUCCCAAACCAGGUAGCUUGUACGAGGUUGCAAAAGAAGAUGGUAUGUUCAAUUAAUUCCACCUCAGACAUGCAAAUUGGGCAAAGAUGACUAUUAGUCAUUUUCCUUUUAUUCUAUUUUGUUGCGUAGGGAGGGAGUCUGAGAUAGCACGCCACAUAAAAUUUACUACCUUUGGUUGUGACUGUAUUUUCGAGAUGCUAUUUCACUUCAUUGGUACCACCCAGAGACCGAAUCGCGCUGGCUCGCAAAGCCUUAAAGUUUAGGACCUCAAAGUCAUCCAAUAGAGAAGAAGGUGGAUCUUUAGAAAGGAAGGCAACACUUGCACAUCUUAUUUUUUAGCAAGGGUAGAAAUUACUAUUUGAUUCACUUUGAAGGAGCUAGCGCCUCCUAGCUACUACACUAGAUUGACAACUGUGACAACAAAGUUCAUUAACAAAAGAAAAA